UUCCCUUUUCCCUUUAGCAUACAACCACAACAGUUUCGAACAAACAAUAGCAACAUACAACUUUCAAACAAAAACAACAACGACAAUACAACUCUAACAGUACCAAUUCCAACCUGGUCCCAGCGAAAAACCCAAAUUCGGCCAACAUCAACGACCCAAUAAAGCAGCAACAAUCUCAAUACGUAACCCAAAUCGAACAACAUCCAACAACCGAAAAUUCCCUUAAACAUUCAACCUUAUUCGAUUUUCAACUCGAAAUUCAAAAACUGUACUAAGCAGUACUAAACACAGCUCAUUCUCAUUCCCAUUUGAAGUUUCUCCCAAAAUCCCUAAAAUGCCCUUAAUAUUUUCCUCCCACAUCGGUGGAGCAAAAUUUACUGGCCAUUGUUGUUAUCUAUAAAUAGCUCAUUCUUGAGCUGAAACAAUAAGUCUUGAGGGUUGAAAAACUUUUGCACAAAAAGUUUGUUUUUCUAGUAAAUUAUUUAUCGUAAAAAUCGACGAGUUCUCGGAGUCGCAGCGAAGUUUUUCGAUGGUGGCGAGGAGAUUCCGACAAUAACUUGAGUCCCGUUUUGCUGCCCCAAAAGAGGUUUCGAUGGUGGCGAGGAGAUUCCAACGAUAACUCGAGUCCCGUUUUGCUGUCCCAAAAGAGGCGCAGGACAUAGUGUAUGGAGGGUACUUUAAUAAAUUGUUUCAUGUUGUCGUACCAAACAACAUGAAUUAUUGUCAUACAGUAGAUGGAAAUACCCUGGCCGAUGUUUACUGUAUCAAUUGUAGCGACUUGUGCUCUGUUUCAUUGUACGUUUAGUUUUGAGGUAAUCUUCAUUAAUAUUUUGUGCUAUAUUUCGCCCGAUCUAAAAUUCUAAGACUAUUCUUUUUCAAUUUGGGUGGAAGAGGUAAGGUGGUGACCGUUUGGGAGUGUGAAGGAAAGAGAAAAGGACUUGAUCUUUAUAUCCAUGUCUAGAAAAUUAUUUAAGAACUUAUUAAUUGAAAAAAAUGAUUCACUUUUAUUGCUCCUUUUUCUUUUGUUUUUUUAUCGAGGGUUCUCAUUAUAAUACAUGAGAUGGAAAAACAGUCCUGAUUCUUCAUGAAUAGAACUGUAUCUGCAAUUCCAAAUAAUAAUGAGAUCCGUCAAUGCUCUAUAGUGCUCAAUAAUUUGAGUAUCUUAAUAAAUCAUCUCAUUGAUGUUCAUUGAGGAUGUUGUUAUGUUUUAUAAAUGAUGCAACUUUCAUAAUGCUGUUAAGUAAUAGAAAGCACUUUCAAUGAUCUUUUUUUUAGCUUCAAUGAAAGGAUCGAGCAAGGAAUUGGAAAUAACCUUUCUACAAAAAGAACUAGAGCAAAUUCCAAAAGAUAUAACCAACAAAGCCUUACAUAAAAACUUUUGAGAGGGUGGAUGGAGAUUGAAGCAAAAUGUUUUACGUGUCUUAUGGUGAGAUCUUAGGGCUCAAAUUUUCGUUUGAUGCUAAUUUUCUUGGUAAUAACAUGGAGAAGAUGUUCAAUGCUUCAGUAUUUUGCAGCUAAGUGCCGUUGAAUUCCUUCAGGAACCUAUCAUCAGGCGAUAAACUGAAAAAUAUAUGGCAGCAUGUAGUUCAGAAGGUUUGUAGAAAAAAUAAAAUAUGAUCUUAUUGGUUGCAACAGGAAUCCAAUACUAGAAAGGAUGUGUCAGGAUAACUUGAGCUGGUAACAAUAUAUAUCCUCUCAAUGCUACAGCUACAACCAGCAAAAGAUGGAGCAGAUGGCAAAAAUUAAAAUGGAACAGAACCUCUCACUGCAGUAGCAAAAAGCAAUACUGAAUAGGCAUGGGCCAUGCUCACGACCCUGCUCCAUUAACCCCACAUUUGAAACAAAAAGUGCAGUUGGGAUAAACUAAGUAAUUUUGAAUUUAUCAAAUUCAUUAUCCAGAAGGUUUUCGAUAGAAGAUUCAGCAAGCAUAGAUCAUCGUCUCAUUUGCAACAACUAUAUUUCUAUGGUCAUUGAUCAAAGAUCUCUCAACCUUGUGAUGCAUCAAAUUUCUUCAUUUGUGUAAAUAAUAUAUGCAUAAUUAUAGUGUAAAAUUUGUCUUCGCUACUUAUAAUUCUAACUAUUACAAUUUAGCUUAUAGUGCAAUUUAGCUUAUAGUAAGUACAUACACAUCUUGCUUUAAUGUUGGGCUCGUGCUGACACGGG